rnacentral:rRNA from 1 species
UACGGAGGGUGCGAGCGUUGUCCGGAAUCAUUGGGCGUAAAGAGCUUGUAGGCGGUUUGUCGCGUCUGCUGUGAAAAUCCGGGGCUCAACCCCGGACUUGCAGUGGGUACGGGCAGACUAGAGUGUGGUAGGGGAGACUGGAAUUCCUGGUGUAGCGGUGGAAUGCGCAGAUAUCAGGAGGAACACCGAUGGCGAAGGCAGGUCUCUGGGCCACUACUGACGCUGAGAAGCGAAAGCAUGGGGGAGCGAACAGG